GGGGAAUAUUGCGCAAUGGGGGAAACCCUGACGCAGCAACGCCGCGUGAAGGAAGAAGGCCUUCGGGUCGUAAACUUUUGUCUUCUGGGAAGAAACAUGACGGUACCAGAGGAGGAAGCCACGGCUAACUACGUGCCAGCAGCCGCGGUAAUACGUAGGUGGCGAGCGUUGUCCGGAAUUACUGGGUGUAAAGGGCGUGUAGGCGGGGCUGCAAGUCAGAUGUGAAAUACCGGGGCUCAACUCCGGGGUUGCAUUUGAAACUGUAGUUCUUGAGUGCAGGAGAGGAAAGCGGAAUUCCUAGUGUAGCGGUGAAAUGCGUAGAUAUUAGGAGGAACACCAGUGGCGAAGGCGGCUUUCUGGACUGUAACUGACGCUGAGGCGCGAAAGCGUGGGGAGCGAAC
rnacentral:rRNA from 1 species